GUAGAAAGAUGUGUCACAUCCUUGACGAAGACUUGAGGAGUCAAUAUGUACCAUUAAGGAUAAUUAACAGUAAUUAAUUAAUUGUGAACCAAUUUUAAUUUAUAUAGUUUUCACAAUUGGAUAUUGCUAGUUCUUUCGAAAAAAAUAACGGACCAAAGAAUGAAUAUCAGCGAUAGUAUUUCAAAGGUAUUUCGUUUUUAUUUUAAUUUCCUUCCCUUUUAAAUUUAUGUUACAUAUUACGUUACUAUGAAGUUUUCUUUUCUUUUAAUAAAACAAAUAAAUAAGAAUAAUAACAAUGAAACAUAGGAGGAGAAUAUACCAUGUUUUUAUUUCAUGAUGUUACAAAUCAUUUAUUUAUUUUUUGAAAAGAAAACAAGUAUUAAAAGAAAAAAAUAGUUUCCAUUAAACUAUUACAAUUUUUUUUAAAUGCCAACAAGGACAUAUUUUAAUUGUGAGUCAAAAAGUGUUUUUCUUUAAUAAUUUAUGAAGAAAUAUUACUAAAAAGAAGUGUUUAAAAUUAAAGAAAUAUAUUCAAAUGCAACUACACUAUAUCUCAUAACCGUAUUUUGAUAUUUAUUAUUGUAGCAGUAAAUACUUUCAAUUAUACUUGUUUUAGAUCUAAAAAUUGUAGGUUCAAGAGAUGUUUCAUGAUUUUUCUCUUAAAACUGAAUUCUAUAUUUGAAUUUAUGAAAAUGUUUAUCUGAUUCUAAUGAAUUAUGAUCGAUGUUGUUACUUAAUUUUCCAUGUCUUGAGUCAUUUCGGAUCUUAAAAUCUAUUUUAUUUGACAUUUAAUUUAUCGAAAAUUAUUUAUCGUUGAAACUUGUAUACUUCAACACUUACUACUGUAACAUUAUAACUCCCGAAUAUAGAAGAAAAUGUAUGGUUCUGAAGUUUUUAUUUUUAUAUUUUGGGGAUGACACAUCUAAAUUAUGGAUAAAAACAUUUGGUGUAUAUGUCAAUGAGACACCAACCCAACAAUAUAUUUCUGAUUUAUUGUAAAGUUUCUUUUAUUUUCGAUCGCCUAGAUUUCUGUCCAAAUUAUUCGUGUCUAAAAGGAGACAUUUAAUAGACACAAGCCAAUGUGCAUAGAUCACAAAAAUAUAACUACAACAGAAAUCACAAGUCAAUGAUAAAGAAUGGUUCUAUAGACCAAUUUCAUUGAAUUUCUUGUUUAUUCAUAAGUGGACAUUUUACAUCUGCUAGUGAACAUGAAUAUAAAAAGGUCGCGUAUAAUAGUCCCUGAAACAGUAUUAGAAAAAGAGACAUUAUAAGCGAACAAACGAAGCUAUUGCAUUUUUUGUUUGUUUGAUAUCUGAUGUCUCUUACAAUUAGUUUAAAUGUGUUCAGAAAACAAUGUUUAUGCUAACCUUUGUUUUGAGAUGUCGAGAUGUCCGUAUUAAGAAUAAAAUACUAAGUUCGUUUGAUAUUUGCAUGUAUCAGCCUAUAUAUAUAUAUAAAAGAAGAUGUGGUAUGAUUGCCAAUGAGACAACUGUCCACACGAGACCAAAAUGACACAUGCAUUAACAAACUAUAGGUCACCGUACGGCCUUCAACAAUGAGCAAAGCCCAUACCGCAUAGUCAGCUAUAAAAAGUCCCGAUAUGACAAUGUAAAACAAUUCAUACGAGAAAACUAACGACUCUCUCAAAAGCAAAAAAAAAAAACCCUAACUGUAAAAAUAUAAGGGCAUACACUACAGGCACGGGGACACAUUCUACUGAAUCCACACAGCACGAGUAACAAACUAUGUCUACAACGUAAAAUAUUCCAAUAAGAAAUACAAAAGUUUGCGAUAUACAACUCAGACCCCAGACAUGUGUUUAAGUAGCUUACUAAGUGAAUAAGAAAGCCUUCUAUUGACAAACAUAAUACUAUUUAUACCGUUCAUGAUAUAGUUGUCGAUUUAGUAUUCCUUCUGUAUAUUUAGUCAGCAUGUUGUUACGAAGUGCAAAUUAAUAAAUACAGAAAACUAAACGUUUUUUAAGUAUAAAUUGCUGCAACACUAUUUGUUUCUUUUGGCCGCCUUUCUCUUGAGGGAGAGGUUCAAUAUAGACCAGUAUUUUGAAUUUAACUAAUUUUUUGGAAGGAAUUGAACCCCUUCCUUAAAUUAUAGAAGGAGUUUAAUACAAAUCCAUUCUUUUGAUAAUUAUUAUUAAAAAGCUAAAGCACUUUUAUCAUUUUUCACAACAAUUUCAUAAACAUUGCUAUCUCAUAUAUUUUUGUACUAUCAAGAAACCUUUAAUUCUAACACUUGUAAAAGACUGCAACCAAGGAUCUCUAAAAUCCACAGCCUUUCGUUUUAAAUAAAUAGGUAAAAUAUCAAAAUAAGUUAUGAAAGGUCUGUACGCUAAUUGAACACAAAAUAAUGUAUUCUAGUUUUUUUAAAUAAAUGUCAAUCACCUCAUUUCUUUUGCAUAAACGACAAUUAUCCUAUAGAGAAACGCACCAUUACAUUCACAUGUAACGUGUAAACCAGACACGCUGCCUACACUUAUCUUCAAUGGUUAAGAACAAGAAAAAACUAUGUAUCGACAUAAUAGGUGUUUUUCCUACAUGUUUUGUGUCCCUGGACAAUCAACGAAUACUGAAUUAUGCGUGUUCCUAUAAAAGUAUUUCUCGUACAUAAUGAUACAUUAAGCCUCGGUCACACCUUACCGGAUAGCUCGAACGGACGCCUAACGGAUAACUUUUUUUCAAUCCGUUAGACGUCCGUCCAUAUCCGUUGCAUGUCCGUUAAGCGUCCGUUUUAUCCGUUGCAUGUCCGUUAAGCGUCCGUUUUAUCCGUCGACGUCCGUUCUGUCCGGUGGAAAAUUUUAGCAUGUUCAAAACUUUGAACGGACGUCUAACGGAUAAAAUGUCCGUUGAACGUCCGUUAACGUCCGUUAGGCGUCCGUUUUGUACGGUACUCGUCCGUUUCGUUUCGUUUUGUAACGUGUCCGUUAUACAUCCGUUGGAGGUCUGGCAGAUAAUUCACCAACGGACUUCUAACGGACGUCUAACGGAUAAACGGAUGAGAAAACUUUAACGGACGUAUAACGGACAUAACGGAUGAUGAACGGAUUCGGAUAAAAUUGAUCAAUUGAAAAUUUCUCGUCAGAAAUCAAAAUAUUUCUUGAAUUCUUAUUAUUCAUAAUCGAUCUUAGAGUAAGGGCAAUCUUCACAAUCAAUCAGCUGUUAAACUUAUCUCAGACACUACCCUUUAGCGGCAUUUUGAAGAACAACAAAAACAGUUACAAGAAACAAAAGCUUUCAUUAAUUGCAUGUUUUUCAGUUUGUUUGGUAUUUGCAUGAUUUUUAUGUGAUAGUCGGUUAAAAAGUUCAUCAGAGCUCAUGUUUUGUCUGUUAAGUUAAUAUCGUGAAAUAAAAUCAACUUACCUUUACUUAACUAGAAACAUUUCAUAUUAAUGAUUACAUGUAUUAUUUGUCGCCUUUAAUUUUUUCGUAUGUUUACGUUUUAUCCGGAUCGUUAGGUGUCCGUUUUAUGCGGUACUCGUCCGUUGGAUGUACGUUCGACAUCCGUUCUGUCCGUUACGUCUCCGUUUCUCGUCCGUUGCAUAUCCGUUGCAUGUCCGUUAUGCAUUCGUUAGGCGUCCGUUUUAGUUGGUCAGUACAUCAACGGACGCCCAACGGAUAACAAUUUUGUCAACGGACAACUUUUAUUUUCAUCCGUUAGGCGUCCGUUCGUCUUAUCCGGUAAGGUGUGACCGAGGCUAUAGACAUUCAUUUCUUAUCUAUAUCACACCUAUCAAAUAUAACGAACGUUUCUACCUGAAUGUCUUCAUUUGAAUAUGUUGUUAUAGAAAUUAAAGUAAUGCUACGAAUUUGGAAUUAAUAUCUUUAGAAUGCAAUAACGCAGUAUGUAGUUUGUAAUUUACAAGACCUUUAUUGGUAUACAAUCGAUUCAAAGUCGAUACACGUAAGUUUUGAUAGAUCGAACCGAUAUUCCCGACAUUCUAGCGCACUACCACAAAAUAUAUAUAUAGGCGGGCUUCACCUAUCCCCUAAAUAAAAAUGUGUUCUAGUUCAGUGACAAUGAACGUCAUACUAAACCCCAAACCAUAUAAUAAAUGAACUAAAAUAAAAAACACACAAGAAUUACAAAGGGCAAAUGGUUUAAAGAUGUUUAGAGGGAUCUCAACCCUUAUAAUAAAUAAUUAAUAUGAGCUGCGUCGGAUAGAACAUUAUCUUAUGCAAAUGAAUAUCUGUCUUUAUCAAUGCAUCUGUUACCUUAUUUCGGGUUGAAAAAAUCUGUAUUUUGUAAGUCUGUAACUGUAUAGAAAUUUAAUUGAUAUAGGCACCUUAUUGAGGAAUUGAAUGCUUCUUUUUGUAAUUUCAUUGGGGUGUAAAAGCGUUGACCGAAGUACAUUUUGUAUGAAGCGCGGAAGCGCUUUUAUAACCCCUAUGAAGUUACAAAAAGAAAGCAUUCAAUACUUAUAAUUACAUUUUUUUAGCAAUGAUCAUGAAAACACGAAUUUUAUUAUUGUUUUAUUUAAUUCACCUGUGCACUUUAUUGUGGGACCACGUGUUAUCAUGAACGAAAAGUUUUUAUUGAACAAUGCAAUAUUGCUUACGGAAUAACCAUGACGUGAUGUGCAGAACUUUAGCCAAUCAGAAUAAUGUAUCAUAAUGAAACAUGCAUCUAAUGUAAUUAUUUAACAGACAAAAAAUCAUCUUUUAGAUUGUAUUCUAAUGUUCUAAAACCAAUAAAAGUUUUAUACAUGCACUUGUAUAAAUGUUGAUUUCUAUUCGACGCAGAUCAUUUAUAAAUAUGAAUUUAUAAAUAUCUAAUUGCAUACGCAUUUAUAGGAAGUUAGCAAUAUCCUUUAACUCUACUUUUUGCUACAUAGAUAAUGUUCUUUCACUAAAUAAUUCAAAAUUUGGUGACGAUGUGGAACGCAUCUAUCCAAUCGAGCUAGAGAUAAAGGAUACUUCAGAUACAGUUAAGUCGGCCUCAUAUCUUGACUUACAUCUAGAAAUUGACAGUGAGGGUCGGUUUUAAACAAAACUAUACGACAAAAGAGAUGAUUUCAGCUUUCCAAUUGUGAACUCUCCAUUUCUAAGUAGCAACAUUCCAGCAGCACCUGCAUACGGGAUAUAUAUCUCCCAAUUGAUACGAUAUUCCCGUGCUUGCAUUUACUAUCAUGAUUUUCCUGAUAGAGGGUUGCUGCUCACAAGGAAGUUAUUAAACCAAGAGUUCCAAAUGGUGAAAUCAUACCUUCGUAAGUUUUACGGACACCAUCACGAGUUGGUUGACCGUUAUGGAAUAACCGUUUCACAAAUGAUAUCGGAUCUGUUCCUUACGUCGUAACUACAAUCCCCUUCCCUUUCAUGAAUGUGACCUACCGAAUUAAGACUAUUUACCGGAUUUGUUAUCACAUAAGCAACACGACGGGUGCCACAUGUGGAGCAGGAUCUGCUUACCCUUCCGGAGCACCUGAGAUCACCCCUAGUUUUUUGGUGGGGUUCGUGUUGUUUAUUCUUUAGUUUUCUAUGUUGUGUCGUGUGUGCUGUUGUUUGUUUGUCCUUUUCAUUUUUAGCCAUGGCGUUGUCAGUUUGUUUUAGAUUUAUGAGUUUGACUGUCCCUUUUGGUAUCUUUCGUCCCUCUUUUAGAUUGGUUCUGACCAGUUUUAUAAAUUUUGAUUGCCAACACGUUAUUAAAUUUGUUUCUCUAAUUCUUAAACGAUUAAUCCCUUUCCUGACCUGUUGAUUAUUUCUAUUUCUGUAAUUCUUUCACGAUUUUUCCCUUUUCUAACCUGUUGAUUAUUUUUAUUUAUUCAACGUGUAGUUCAUUUGAUCCCGGUUCUUUUAUUAGUUAAAAUUCGAUUAAGACGUCAAGUUUCUGAAUUUCCUAUUGUGACGUCAUGUAAAAGGCGACAAUGCUUGAAUACGUCAUUUAGAAAUUUAGAAAGAACACAUCUUUUUGUAGAUCAUUCGAAAGGAAGGAUUGAAUUUGUCUGCAUACAAUGUAUCUUCGAAAAAACAGAUUGAACCACUUAAUCUCGUAAAAUACGAUAUCUAUUUAAAAUGUGGUAGAAUCUAUGUCUCCGUUCACGAUAUAUGUAUCCACAUUCAACACGGUUUUAUUUUAAAAUUUUCCGCUAUACCAUUCACUUCCCAUUAAAUAGUUGACAAUAUUCAUCCUCAUUUAACAAUUAUUUUUUUUAAAUCUAAAAAUGUUACUAUAUCAAGAUAAUAAAAUAUCGUUCUGAACGAGUUCGUUGUGGUAAUAUCUAUAUAUACAUUGUGUAUCUCAAAUUCUUAGCAAAUUUUACUUCCUCGAACGGUAAUAAUUAUCUCAUCAACUUGUUCGCGUGAUUUUUUUAAAAUUUAUUAUGACGUCAUAAUUUUAAACUCUUAUCGUAUUCAUUUAGCUUCCUUAAUUUUACGCAGUACCCAGGAUUAAUAUACGCAGAUUUGAAGCAGUUUCCAUAAACCUCAAUUUUCGGCUAAUAACAGUUCCCAACAUGCGAUUAAUUGAAAUUGUUCAAUUUUAAUUAUUUCUUUAUCAUUUGUAAAUGACCUCCAAAAUUACCCUUUUUUUAAGUUGUGGACAGCAGCCUCUUUCGUGCAACAAAGUGACGACUAGACGACUUUAAACUUCUUGCACUAGGAUAUAUGAUGUAUUCGCCCUCUAAGCAAAUAAGUUUGGUUAGCUGUUGGAAGGCAUCGAUGAGAAAAUGGCUUUAUUUUACAUGUACCUUUGGUGGUAAGGCUACACUUCUUUUUGGGAAACAACUCGCGUCAUACUUUGCCUUUUUGAUUGGAUUUUGAUUUUUGGUGUUUUAACGCCACUUUUAAGCACUGCGUUUUGGCUUUUUCAUGGCGGCCAGUUUUUAUUGGUGGAGGAAGCUGGAGUUCCCGGAGAAAACUGACAAUCUUAGUCAAUUAAGAUUGGAGUCAAGUGCACCCGCACGAGCGGGGUUCGAACUCACUAUCUCACUGUCGACUGGCUAGUGAUUACAGUAUUACUGUAACUACGUAGACCACCGAGGCCCCCUUUGCCUUUCUGAAAUGUUUGCUUAGUUUCUGCACUAGUAAAUUGAGUAUAUAAUUUCGGACAGGCUUGAUAUACUUGUCUGGUGAAAUGACGAACUACCAUUAAUUUAGAACCUUGGAUUAAACGAAUAAAAGUCAAACACUUUUAUUAUAAAACAACAAAAUUGACUUAAAAGUCAUACACCAGUCUUAUAAAACAGAAUCGAAGAAGUACAAAUUAACUUGUCGUAAUGCGUAAAGUCAUUUAGAAUAUAUUCCUCGAAAAUAAUUUACUGCUAACCUAGAUUUUCUCAAGUAAAAUAAAUUGUUUGCCUUUUGUAUUGCUCGUCAACAGGAUGAAUUUGUAUUGUUUAAAUGUCCGUGAAGAGAUAAAUUUGUCUCGGUUUUAUCAGUAAUAAUUAGAUUAGAAUACAGGAAAUAACCAAUUAUUGCUACGUAUGAUUUCAUUUAAUUCUAUCAUUGCUUUUUUGGAAUGCGUUUUAUUUUCUAGGAACUAUAGUAAAGUAGUAAAGCUAAUGACGCAUGGUAGAAAUAGUUCUGAUAAAUACUUUUCUAACACCUGGGUAAGCAGUACUUUUCUACGAUUUAUUAAUUCAGUACGUUUCGUUCGUUUCUCUUUUUGGUAUUGAUCAGCAAAAAUCAAAAGACAGACGAAAAUCUGAUUAGACGAUUGGAUUGAACUGUCUUCUAAUCUUCGUUAUGCCAUCGUACGUGCUACAUUGUUACAUAUUUUCUAUGUUUCCUAUUAACAUAAAAUUGAUAUUCAACAUAAUACGAUAAGGGGAAUUAAAUGUCGUCCUUCAACCACAAAGAAUAACAGUUUCAUGUUGCAUUCAAAAGUACAAUGUAUAUCUACAGUGAUGGAUAUAUUUAUUCAAUGAUAAUAAGGUUAGGGGAUAACUAAGCCGAAUACUUUAGUCGUUAUAAGGUUAGGGGAUAUCUAAACCGAAUACUUUAGUCGUUAUAUGGUUAGGAGAUAACUAAACCGAAUAAUUCAGUCGUUAUAAGGUUAGGAGAUAACUAAACCGAAUAAUUCAGUCGUUAUAAGGUUAGGAGAUAACUAAACCGAAUAAUUCAGUCGUUUUAAGGUUAGGAGAUAACUAAACCGAAUAAUUCAGUCGUUAUAAGGUUGGGGGAUAACUCAACCAAAUACGUCAGUCGUUGUAAGGUUAGGGGAUAACUCAACCAAAUACGUCAGUCGUUAUAAGGUUAGAGGAUAACUCAACCAAAUACGUCAGUCGUUAUAAGGUUAGGGGAUAACUCAACCAACUACUUUAGUCGUUAUAAGGUUAUGGGAUAACUAAACCGAAUAAUUCAGUCGUUAUAAGGUUAGGGGAUAACUUAACCGAAUAAUUCAGUCGUUAUAAGGUUAGGAGAUAACUAAACCGAAUAAUUCAGUCGUUAUGAGGUUAGGGGAUAACUAAACCGAAUACUUUAUUCGUUAUAAGGUUAGGGGAUAACUAAACCGAAUACUUUAGUCGUUAUAAGGUUAGGGUAUAACUAAACCAAAUACUUUAGUCGUUAUAAGGUUAGGGUAUAACUAAACCGAGUAAUUCAGUCGUUAUAAGGUUAGGAUAUAACUAAACCGAAUGAUUCAGUCGUUAUAAGGUUAGGGUAUAACUAAACCGAGUAAUUCAGUCGUUAUAAGGUUAGGGUAUAACUAAACCGAAUGAUUCAGUCUUUAUAAAGUUAGUGGAUAACUAAUUCUAUAAAACCGAAUAUUUUAGUCGUUAUAAGGUUAGGGGAUAACUAAACCAUAUACUUUAGUCGUUAUAAGGUUAGGGGAUAACUAAACAAAAUACUUUAGUCGUUAUAAGCUUAAGAGAUAACAAAAUCGAAUAAUUUAGUCGUUAUAAGGUUAGGGGAUAACUAAACCAAAUACUUCAGUCGUUAUAAGGUUAGGGAAUAACUAAAUCGAAUAAUUCAGUCGUUAUAAGGUUAGGGGUUAACUAAACCGAAUAAUUCAGUCGUUAUAUUCUGCUGAUCUAUAAUUUCUUUAUGAACCUCGCAAAAUCAGGGAAAUCGAUUACGGGAAGGGACUGAAUUAUUCGGGUAGGGGGAUAACAAUAUUUAUUGCUUAACUUGAAUAUUCGAGUAAAAUAUUUACCUCUUCCCAAAGAUUUGUGUUUUCAAACUAUGCAUAACUUCUGAACGAAACAUAUUGUUAUUGGUUAGUGUGCAAGCAGUUUUACAGUGUAUACAAGGAAAGAGUAAAUCAUCUUCGUACAUCAGUGGAGGAUCCAGAAAUUUUCAUAAGUGGGGGCCCACUGACUGACCUAAGAGGGGGCCCGCUCCAGUCACGCUUCAGUGACUCCCUAUAUAAGCAACCAAUUUUUUUCCCAAAAAUGGGGGGCCCGGGCCCCCUGCCCCCCCCUAAAUCCGCCUCUGUACAUCAUGUGCAUUGUUUACUUUAUAGCUAGAGAGUGCACAUGUAACACAUAAUCUGUAUAUCAGCUUAUAAAAAAAACCAAAACGGUCCUUCUAUUUCAUUAGGUAUAACCACCAGAUAUUAUAAAUUAUACUCAUGGGAAUAAGUUCUAUAUAUGGUAUCAGCCAUUAUCUUUAACUGACAACCAUUUUAUCUUAAUAAGAAGAUAUGGUACGAGUGCCAUUAGACAGCUCUCCAUCCAUUUCACUAUGUAUAAAAAGAUGACCUUUUGAAUUUGAAUUAUGCUAAUCAUAUUUUUUGGAAACUGUCUCAAAGAUUUAAAAGUGGUUCUUUUCUAAGCAGUUUUAGGAUAGAUUUGUUUUUCUUUAAAUUAUUUUUAUAAUAAGAAUGGAAAUAAAUAUGUUCCGAGUGAAGGACGGAUGCUUUCGUGAAAAGUACUAUGGUAUUAAUUACCGUCAGUUCUACCACGGUAUUAUUUAUAAUAAGACAGUAUGUUGACAUUUACAUGAAUUUUAUGCUUUUUGUACCGUUUGGGUACUGCAUCGAUGUGUAUUUAACAUUUAACACACUCUUCCAUUCACAUUUAAUGAAACUGAUAAAUAGUAUUUGGGUAAAAACAAUAGAACAUUUGUUAUAAAUUUUCUGACAGUGUCGCAUUGCAACUCAUUAUAGUUUCAGCAGUGACAAAACAUGACUCUGUAUGGUAAUCACGAGGUGAAUAUUCAGCAUGCAAGCUUCCUCUUUUGGAAUAAGUAUAAUACUCUUCGUUCCUAGAUUUGUCUUUUUACUAAAUAAAAACACGAUAUAUACAUUACAGUCGGAUUUCAAUUGAUUGAUUGAUUGUGGUUUAAUACCACCUUCCACACUAUCGUGAUUUUUCAUGAUCAGUUUUAUUGGUAGCGGAAGUGACAAACCCUCCGUAGGACAAUCUUAGUCAAAGAAGAUUACAGCCAAGUGCACCCGCACGAUCGGUGUUCAAACUCACAACCUCAUUGUUGACUAGAUAGUGAUUACAGUAGUUGAACUACUACAACCACUCGGCAACCGAAGUCCCCCGAAGUUGAACUGCAACCACUCGGCAACCGAAAUCCCCCGAAUUUCAUUUAAAAUUAUUAUUUCCAGAAGAGUACCCGUCUCACUCGAAGUUUGAUGGUUGAAAUGAUCAGAUUUAUACUAUCGAUAGUUGUAAGUGUCAACCUGAUUUAUGUAAAGCACAUGAAUACUAUCAUGCAACAAAUUCGACAAGAAACUGAUAGCUUUGUAUUUCAAUAACCAGACGCAAUUGUCCUUUUAGCUUACCACUCGGUGAACUGAUUCCUUCUGAAACUUUUAAUCAAUUACUACACUUUAUUAUCUUUUUGCUAUAUGUUCUAACUCAUCUGCUGGAUGACUGCACUUGUAUCGAUAAAAUAAAGUUGAAAUAUAAAAGUACAAUCGCAGAACAUUUGUUUACUUGUUACAAGAAAUGAUUUAAUUAGUUUAUUAGCCAUUUCUUCCAUGCCCUGUAAAAACUGCAAUUUACGUUUUUACUUACGGCAUACCAGUGUUUACAUGAUUAAUCAACUGUAUGGUUAAGCAUAAAUGAAGUCUUAAUACAAUCAUUUUGUUUCAAAUACGAUGAAAGUAGUCCCCACUUCCAGAUAGAUAAAUUGGUUAGACAUUCCAAAAGAUAGAUUAAGAGAAGUAAAUAUAUUAUUUGAACCAAAAUGAAAUUGGAAAGUGAAGUUUUCUUGUUCUCCGGUGCUAAUAACCUGAAUCUGGCACAAGACACACUUACAUCACAUAGAAAUAAUGUCCUUCAGCUACUUAUUUAAUUUCGUAACAAGCCAGUAUAUAGACGGAAUAAUGUUUUCAAUGUUUUAGAAUAUGAUAAAACUUCAUCUUGCUUAAAAUUUUAAAAUCAAAAGCCGAAAGAAAUAGAACGUAAACAAUUCAUUUUUUUUUAGCGUUUUACUUUUUGUUCUAGUUCAUUUUACCGUUGCACUGGUAACAAGAAGGUAAUACAAUAAUUUACUCACAAUCUUGUUAACUAGUACGAUGUGUGCCUUAAUUUAUGAAAUUUUUAAUAUUAGGUUUUAUAUGAAAAUACAGUUUGUCCAGUUCCUUGCUUUAAUUUAGUUUCUAUCAUUUUUAAAGUUAUUUGUAGUUUGUAUUUGAUGUGGUCGUGUUCAAUUUCAACAUAAAAAUCCAUAUUACCUUAAGAAGUAGGUAAAACAAUAACAUAAGUGUAUCUUUAAUAAAAUCUCUGAAACUGAAACUUUAUAAAACAAUUUAGCUGAGCAAUAUAUACUUCAUGGGAUAUUUCCCUUUCAUAAAUGUGACCUACCGAAUUAAACUAUUUUACCGGAUUUGUUAUCUCAUAAGCAACACGACGGGUGCCACAUGUGGAGCUGGAUCUGCUUACCCUUUCGGAGCACCUGAGAUCACCCCUAGUUUUUGGUAGGGUUCGUGUUGUUUAUUCUUUAGUUUUCUAUGUUGUGUCAUGUGUACUAUUGUUUGUCUGUUUGUCCUUUUCAUUUUUAGCCAUGGUGUUGUCAGUUUAUUUUCGAUUUAUGAGUUUGACUGUUCCUCUAGUAUCUUUCGUCUCUCUUUUAUGCGUCUAAUUGAUGACUGUCUACUGUUUUACUAAUCGUAAAACUAUUAAUCAACAACAAUUAUUUAAAAAAAAAACGAUGUUCGACAAAACAUGACAAUUUCUAUUAUCAACCUGACCAACAAAGACUAUUGCAUAUGCAAGGUUUCAAUCAUGUACAAACAAAAUAACGGAAAGGCAAAACCAUCAGGUUGUUCGCUUCUGAGCCGGAAGUUUGAGUUUUAAUUUAAGUUGAUAUGGACGUCUUCAAAUCAUAAAAUUGAUAGAAGUUUUUAAAUGUAUAAUCUGCCUGUUCAGACAUUAUCAUUCCCUAUUUGAAACAUACUGGUGGUCUUGCGCAAGUUUUCUUGUCCAUCAAAUCACAUGUUCUUGGAAAGUCAAAACUUCAAUAAUAUUUAAUAAUACAUAAACAAUGAUAAAUAGUCUUCCGGUUAUUCUAAAAAAAAAGUACAAGAAAGCUAACACAACGAAGAUAUAUCAAGAACAGUGAACACAUAUAUCAUGUUAUGGAGGGGUAUUUGCGAAAAAUACCAGUCCAGGGACGGUGAAAUUUCCCAAGCCGCCAUGCGAGGGAAUUUGGUCCCAAGACUGGUAUUUUUCGCAAAUACCCCUCCAUACCCCUCCAUAACAUGAUAUAUCUGUUUAAUUACACCGAAUACAUUUUGAUUGAUACUGUCUACAUGUGAAUGGUAAUCAUAGUACCGCGGGAAUUAUACAUGUCUUUUUGUAACGUCAUGGUAUCUAUAUGUGUAAACAUCAUUGUUAUUCCAUCAUUAAAUCGUUCAUUUGUACAGAUGUCUUUUUCCCCUCUUUAUAUGUAUAUAUCUCUUACAGUUUUCGGUUUAACUCCAUAAAUAGUGUUUAUUUGUGUUGUCUUAGUUAAAAAUCGGGAUAAGUGAGAAAGGUUCUUAAUAAUUUUGGCGGAAACAGGCUCGCGAUGGUAAAAAAGGAGUAUCCAAAAUGGCAAAUACCAUGGUAUUUGCGGCAAAUUCACCGGCAGUGGUUAAAAAAAGUCAAUUAUUUUUUAAAUGAGGAAAAAAAGCUUAGAAUAUGCAAAAAAUACACUGGUUCUCAACCAAUCAAAAUGCAGCAUUCUAACAUAAGGUGUGAAAAAAUAACGCGUUUUUCUUUCUUUCUUCAACGGUUAGCAGUGAAUAGCAGUUUAAGUAAAAGUUAUUAAUGAUGAUAACAAAAAAAUAAGUCAAAGCACAAUGUGCUCUAAUUCCUCACAGACUUACAAACACAUACUGAUAAUUUUAAACAGGAAAAGCUAACAACUUAUAGAUAUCAUGAUAAUAGUAUCCUCAUUCUCAAACGUUACUAUUUAUUUUUUACAGGUCUUAUGUUGCGC
rnacentral:lncRNA from 1 species